GAACUGGUCUGUGCAGUGGGCACAUAAUUUGUUUUUAAAAUAUAAACAGGUUAGUGCUUGAGGAUGUUUUAAAGAAACUUACUGUUAUUUUGCGCAGGAUGGAAAGGCAUAGUCUGCCAUAUGCAUAGGUGGGGGAAGGAAGAUCCCAUCACCAGUGAGAUCAUGGAUCUUUCCUUCAAAGUACACAAAUUAUUUAUUCUGAUUGAUUUGCUGGUUGUUAUUGUUUGUCCUUCAUUCUCAGAGAGGACCAUGACAUCAGGGAGGUGAUAUCAUGACAUGCAAGUGAAUUAGAUUUAGGUGAGGGAGGGCUGUGCAAGGUCACCAGUCUCACUUUGUCUUCCAGACCCAUUUAGUCCCAGUGGUCAGAUACAGAUCAGAAUGACUGGAAAUGGCCCUGGAUGUGGUGGAAGAACUUGGCCCUUUUAAGCUAAGGCCUUUAAAAGGUGUCAGUUUGACUGAGGCAAUGCCCAAUCAAUAAUUAAGGAUAAGUAAGAAACAGUCAAAGAAUGACCUCUUUUACCUAGUUAAAAAAUUAAUCUGGAAGAAGACUUUGAGGGUUUCUGGCCAAAACACAAAUAAUUGUUCUUUAAUUCACUCUGAGACAAUCAAAGCCCCAAAAAUGAUCAAAUGGGGCUUGAUUUGGGACCUACUGUUGAUCAAAGAAAACCAGAGUGAUUUGGGUUUAAGCAUGUUCCUAGCCCUUAAACCCUAAGAUAUCUUGCAAGGUUUCAGGGGUCAAAAUUCAUAUUAUUUUGGAUAGAGCACAUGUAGGUAAGGGCAUAAUAUUUUUUAUGGACAGAGGGAAGGGAAGGGAAGGGAAAGAAGGAAAAAAAAAAGAGAAGAGAAAGAAGAGAAAAGAAAAGGACUCAACUAAUCAGUCCCAAUUGGAUCCCCAAUGGAGCAGCUCCAAUUUGCUUGUGUAUCAUGGUGUGGGGAAUAGAUAAGGUGAAGAACUUACAAGGAUGUAUGAAUUCUUUUUCUGUAUUUUAUUAUUUCUGUGUCUCCCCUAUGAGCUGUAUAAUAUGUGCAGGCUCAUAUCUACUUGAGCCUUGGCCAGCUAGAAACAUAUUUACUUAACCUGAACUGAUGACAUUUAUUGGUAUUUGACAUUUAUCAAUAUUUAGUCUAUUAGCUGGACCACUGUCUGCUUGAUUAAGCCUGAAGGCCUGACUUUGUUUCCCAGAAAUCAGGAGAUUUCAGGGAAACAGAAACCUUCCAUUCCAAUCUCCCCAAAUAGCAACAACCAAUUAGCUGCCUCCCCCUCCCCUUCUCAAUGUUCUCUUACUUGUGAUGUAAUUUCUUGUAUAAAAGCUAUGUAUCUUUACUACUUCUUUAGCCCUCCUACCGCGAGCUUAUCUUGCGAUGGGACGGCUCAUCCUCCGGAGGUUUUUCAAUAAACAACUUUUCUGCCUUCUACUGAGGGAUCUCUGAGUAGUCAUUUUGGGUAAGGGUCUUCUACAUCCCUCACAGAUGGGGGCUCGUCCGGGAUGGGGUCUUUGGGGGAGAUGGCUAUGUGCACCCCGAACAGGGACAGGCGCCCACGGAGUAGUUUUCUCCAUGGUCUCUGGCUCUGGGUGAGCAGCCUCCCUCCCCUCUUAGACAACGACCCGAAGCAGGAAUACUCAGUGGAACGCAGAAUUGAAGAUUGAAAGAAGUAGAGUCCUGAUGGCCGGCAUUUGCAGCCUGAAAAGAAACAUAUGUUCUCGAGAUUAUUGAAUCUCUUCUGAGACAUGGAUCGGCCCAUCUGAAGCUUAGAUUGACACCACACCCACACCCCUGCAUGAAUUGAGCACCUUCGCCCAUUUCUCAGCCUGAAGCAGCUAAGAUCGAGACCAUCGCCAGUGCUCCUGAUGUAAUUUGGACUGAUAUGGGGGAAGUGGGAAAGUGGUUGAUGAAUUAUUGUUAAAAUUACAAUUCUAUUACUAGAGUUAGAAAAAAAUGCAAACAUUACUGUGUGUUUAAGAUUUGGGAUGGAAAUUAUUAAAAAUGGUAACUAUUGCUGUUAAGGAAGCUAUAAAAUGUUUAUAAUAUCUAUGUUCACUUCAGAAUAUGUAAUUGUUUAAGGUAUUUGAUUUGAUUUGAUUUGAUUGAUUUUAGGAAACUCCUGUACUAGACUGUUAUGUAUAGGAACUUUAAUUCACUCUUGGGAUUUAUAUGUGGAUGGUUAUUUGACUAUUUACUUUUUUUUUUUUUUUUGGAUGAUUCCUUUCCAUGAGGAAAAAAAAGGAGAGGAAGAGAUAGGGAACUAGGGAAACUGGUGGAUUUUUCUCAAAAUACCUAAAAGAGUGGGAACCCUUAGUUUUCUUUCACUUUUGCCUUUCAUACUUCUGCCCCAUCCCCUAUACCACCAGUUCAGAUUAAAUUGGAAGUCCUUAAGCAAUCUUUUUUGUUUUUACUAUGUUUUAGCUUUGAAACCCCUCAUUCUGUGGAAUUGCCCUGGCAGACUCAGUUUUGGGAACUAUUCUGUUUUAAAGAAGAUUAAGAUUAAGACACUUGUCUUGGGACUGGCAAUCUCCAGCCCUGUAACCCCAGUUUCUUAACUGGUACCUCAGCAUUUUUAAUAACAUUGCCCUUUUGAGAUCAAGCCUCUAAAGUUUGGGGUUUGCCUGCCUUCAUGUUCUAACUGUGCAUGCUCUGAUAGCUCUGCUCAGAAAUCUGUAUUCUAGUAGCAGCCCUGUCUGUCCCCCUGGGUGGGGACAGGUGGAGCUACUCUAAGCCUCACCCUUCUCCCCUGGAGUGGGUUGCCCCUAUGAAUGGGCAGCAUGACUGUCUCGAGCCCUGCUACUCCCUAUAUAAGCAGAAGCUGAGUUAAGUGCACAAAUGACUGCAGACCCCCUAACACAGUGAACUGUCCAUCUCAAACUGGAUUCUCUGGCUGAGAUGAGGGCCUUUGUACUGCUGAUAACUCUGGGGUUGUCAGGAAGAGACUUGUCCUCGCCAUAAGUCCUUGCAUUUUCUAGUUUCAUUUUGAUUUAUUUGCCUCACAUUGGAUUGGUCAAAAUUAUGGUGCUGAGACCUCCCAGGUAUCUUAGGGAGGUAAUUCAAUAAUUCAAAUAUUCAGAAGAAGAGUGUGUAAUGUUGUGCCUCAGUUCCCCUAGAUUGUCAUCUUUAUCUGUCUUUUUAUUUUUAUGUUUGCCAAAUGCCAAUCUGUUCUAUGAUAACUGUUUCUAAGAUAGUUGGUGGAAGCAAUUUUUAUGGUAUGAACUUAUUGCAAUCAAUGGUAUUAUCCUGUUGCUGCUAUGCCUACCCUGUAUAAUUACAUUAGUAACCAGAAUAGUUCAGUGGUCCCUAUCAAAAUAUUGCAUACAGAAAAUGCUAUUAAAAUGAUGAUUUUUCAGAGAAAAGACUGGAAUGUAUUAAAGAGGGAUGAUCUUGAUUGUGAACUUGAUAAACAAUGUAUAGAUAUAUUAACUGAUUUUGAAAAGUGUGUAAGUUCUUCAUAGAAAUGUGAUAAAAAUCAUUUACAUAUUAGAAGGGGGGAGCUGUGGGGAAUAGAUAAGGUGAAGAACUUACAAGGAUGUAUGAAUUCUUUUUCUGUAUUUUAUUAUUUCUGUGUCUCCCCUAUGAGCUGUAUAAUAUGUGCAGGCUCAUAUCUACUUGAGCCUUGGCCAGCUAGAAACAUAUUUACUUAACCUGAACUGAUGACAUUUAUUGGUAUUUGACAUUUAUCAAUAUUUAGUCUAUUAGCUGGACCACUGUCUGCUUGAUUAAGCCUGAAGGCCUGACUUUGUUUCCCAGAAAUCAGGAGAUUUCAGGGAAACAGAAACCUUCCAUUCCAAUCUCCCCAAAUAGCAACAACCAAUUAGCUGCCUCCCCCUCCCCUUCUCAAUGUUCUCUUACUUGUGAUGUAAUUUCUUGUAUAAAAGCUAUGUAUCUUUACUACUUCUUUAGCCCUCCUACCGCGAGCUUAUCUUGCGAUGGGACGGCUCAUCCUCCGGAGGUUUUUCAAUAAACAACUUUUCUGCCUUCUA